GUUGGACAAGUUUCCCUUCAAUCGGCGCUACCCCAACUCUAUCACGUAUAUCAUCAUUCCGGAUUCGGUCCUUCCUUGUGUGGCCACACAUUUAUCUCAACAUUUGCAUCUCCGCCAUCCCUAAUUGUUGCACAUGUCGUCUUUUAAUCGACCAACACUCCACACCAUACAACAUUGCGGAUCGAAUCGCCGUCCUAUAUAAUGUUAUUUUUAACUGUCUCUACC
rnacentral:lncRNA from 1 species